CAACCCCCUCCUCCCAUUACUGCUCCCCUUCUCCUUAGAGAUGGACUGCACCCUGGGACAUCAAGUCUCAGCAGGACUACGUUGCAUCCUCUCCCAGUGAAGCCAGACAGGUCAGCCCAGGUAAGGGAAGGGGAUCUAAAGGCAGGCAACAGACUCAGAGACAGUCCCUGUUCCAGUCGUUAGGAAGACCAAGCUGCACAUCGGCUACAAAUGUGUAGGGGGCCUAGGUCCAGCCCGUGCAUGCUCUUGGUUGGUGGUUUAGACUCUGUGAGGCCCCACAGGCCCAGGUUUGUCCACUCUGUUGGUCUUCUUUCAGUCUCCUUGACCUCUCCAGCUCCCUCCGCUACUCUUCCACAAAACUCCCCGAGCUCCGCCCAAUGUUUGGCUGUGGGUCUCUGCCUCUGUUCCGAGUCCCCAUCUCUUAAUCAUAUUGGCCUCACUCAAAAUGUGGAGAAAAUGUAUUCAAACCACAGCAACCUAGAAGUGGGGCUGCUAGAUUUUAUAUAUCGUAUUAUCUUCAAAAAUGUCCAGCAACUUCUAUUACUGUUUUCCAGAGCGAGUGCAGCAUUUUACUGAGACAGUUUUGAGAUGUAUUCUGCACUCUCCCCCCAGGAGGUCCCUCAUGAUAUUUUAAUCACAUCAUGAGCCCUUUUCUCCCUGGCUCACAUGUCUAUACUGCUUCCUCUUUACUUCCUGAACUUGCAAUCUGAAUUCACUACAAGUGUCAAGUCUUCACCAGGGUCUCUUCUGUUCGGAACUCACGUCAAGGCCUGCCACUUGCUUCAGGUUGUGGAGUCCCUGAGUGGCUGUGCUGAGUAUCUAUUGCUGUGUAAUGAACUGCUUGCUACACAAUCUGGUAGCUUCAGAUGGCCUUAUUAUGGGUGAUUUUUUUGGUGGGGACAUCCACCAUGGCUAUAGGUAGAUGCCAGGGGAUAGAGGCAUCUCCUAGCUCUACUGAACUGGUUUUCCAGAACAGCCAAGAGUUCAGGGUCAAGAGGAAGAAGAAGAGCCCUGCUAACGGAUUCUUCUGGAAUAGCAUGGGGUUACCGCUACCACAUUCUAGUAAAAACAGUACUUUCAGGCUCUCUCGAUAGGAGAGGUAGAGAGAUGAAUCACGGCGCGGUUUGACUGUGAGAAGCCCCCACAAGCUCUUGUUCCCAGAUAGUGGUCACAAAUUCAAGAUGUGGGGGAGCUGGCUGGCGAGGGCGGGCCCUUAGGAGCACAUCUAGUCCGUACCGCCCCUCCCGUCCGUCUCUGUGGUGGCUGACUGGCCUCUGUGGGCAGCUUUGCUCCGGCAAGCUCUUGCCGCCACAGUGCCCUGCUUCACUGCUGCCCACAGCGAUGGAGCAAGCUGACCCUGGACUGACAGCAGGAGCCCAGAUACUGCGUGCGCGCACGGCAGAAGGACAUCUGGACAGGACAAGUUUUUUGUUUUUGGUGGGCCUCAGGGCCAGGAUGCAAACCUGGUCAGUAUGGUUUGAGAAAUCCUAAUUCCAAACUUCCAUUUUGCGUCUGCUGAAGACAAAUAAAGGAGACUGGUCAUUUCUAGAGGACUGGAGGAUGAGCUGAAGACAAUGGAAAACAUAAGGCUGAUCUAACAGGAUCCCGUGUUUGAGUCCAGACUGAUGUGGCCUCAAGUGAUUGGCAGCCUUGAUAGGGACUUGGAAGGCUCAGAGCAGCGUCACUUAGCAUGUUUGGGAGGGGCUGGCGAGGCAGCCCAGCUGUAAAGGUGUUCACCUUUGCCAACCUGGUCCACUCGGUUUGAUCACUGGCAGACCUCUCUACAGAAUGGUUGACAACUAUAGCAAGUGAGUGAUCCCAGGGAGUGAGACAGAAGCCAGUGUCUUUUAUGAGCAGGACACUUUCUGUCAUUCCUACAACAGAUUAUACAGGUGAGCUCCGCGCAGCAUAGGAGGGAACUUCCAUGGACGUUAGGAGGCCUAACUUCCAGGAGGCACGGUGUACCACUGAAGGCUGGUGGUCCGCAGAGCAGCGGAAGGGGCUGUCGUGUGGCUGGAGGAUCACGAUGAACAGGAGCUGGCUGUACUGACGAAAUCUGCUCCGGUCAGGUUGGCCAAGUUCUGGCUCCAGCUGAGGGAUGGAGCGAGCCUGUCUUUCCUCCAAGAUGCCCAUGUAGCUUCUGCCCACGCUGGCACUGCUGGAUCCUGUUACACUGUCACCGCGCAAGACAAGAACUGUGGGGAAGACAAUGGCCUCCAUUGAGGAAUGAUGACGUAAAGGAACCAGCGAUUGCACAGCGGCCAUUCAGGAGACAAUAAGUGUUUCAAGAGGCCCAGGGGUGCUGAAGGGGAGCAAAGAUGCACAUCAUCAGCCUUGUCAUUUCGUCCCCUCUCUCAGGUCUCCGACGCUGUGCCAAGAGAAAAAUCUCUCCUGGAUCUGUCUGAAAAGCUCCCGCCUUGGCAUCUCAUGUCCAGCAGAGCACUGGGUACUGCCAUAUCUAAGAACUUUACGUGACUCCAGCCAUCUGUCAGCCGGAGGGGAUGGGGUGUUCUUUGUUCUUGGGCUUGAGCAGAGCUCCCAGCUAUAUACCCAGGGUCUGGCUGUAUUGUUGUCUGUCUUAGUUAGGAUUUCUAUUCCUGCACAAACAUCAUGACCAAGAAGCAAGUUGGGGAGGAAAGGGUUUAUCGAGCUUAUACUUCCACGUUGUAGUUCAUCACUAAAGGAAGUCAGGACUGGAACUCAAGCAGGUUAGGAAGCAGGAGCUUAUGCAGAGGCCAUGGAGGGAUGUUUCUUACUGGCUUGCUUCCCCUGGCCUGCUCAGCCUGCUCUCUUAUAGAACCCAAGAGCACCAGCCCAAAGGCGGUACCACCCACAAUGGGCCCUCCCCACUUGAUCACUAAUUGAGAAAAGGCCUCACAGCUGGAUCUCAUGGAGGCACCUCCCCAACUGAAACUCCCUUCUCUGUGAUAACUCCAGCCUGUGUCAAGUCGACACUCAAAACCAGCCAGUCCAUUGUCUUAUGUUGUCAUGAGUGAAGAUACAAUUCUGCCAUCAUGUCUGACAGUCAGAACAGAGAGGGGACGAAGCGCCCUUCUCAGAACCUUAGCUGGAAGCCACUUGCCAAGGUCUUUGCCGGAGGGUUAGGUAGAUCUGGGGAUUCCUCAUGGCAAUAUGGAGAAAAAGGCCUUUCUGGGAAGGCUUCUGUUGAUCUGGGGCUCAAGGGUUAGCUCACUCUGGAGUGCCACCUGGAGAUUCUGCGUUGUCAGCUGUCCAGGUGAGCACAGACGGCUCUUCUGAUCUGAGCUUAGCCACUUACGUAGGGUGUGACCUUUGCAAGGCAGUGUGUGGUUUUCUUUUUUGUGUGUGUGCAAGGGCUGGCUGGCAUUUCUAUGGAUGUAUCCCCUUCCAGCAAUCCUUUUGGGAAACUGCCUUCUUCCCUCCUUUAUGCAAUCAGUGAGGACAUUGCAGGGCUGGAGGCGGGGCUGCAGGAAGCACACGGAACUGACACGACACUCCAUACCUUUAUUUACUUGAAUGUGUGAGGCCAGAAACAGCCACGUGUCCGUGGACAAAACGAAUCCCAUAAUUAAAAUCAAGCUCUAAUUGCUGGGUGAACUUUGCCUUCUGAAGGGAAAUCGUUGACGAUAUUUGUAAGAAUAGCAAUCAUGAACCUGUGAAAACUGCUGCUCCCCAGUUCCACUCGCCUGGUGAUUCCACUUGGAAUGCAGACUCUCAGAGCAUCUGUGCUAGAGAUGUCCCAUUGGCACCUGGGCGUUGCCUGGUCCUCCACCUACUCAGCUUAGAGUCCCGGGAUGCUGGAUCCUAAAGCCUGCAUCAGUGGGUUCCUAGGAUGUUGUUCUAGGUCCUCACAGACAGUACCUAGGGGACAGGGAGAGAGAGUCAGGAUGUCUCCCUUCCCAUAACCUCUUCCUUUCUUGGCCCCUGUUGUUUGGUCCAUUUCUUGCCCAAGGCCACAAUUUCUGGCUGCUGCCAUCUUUCCUGAGUUCCUGUAGCUGUUCCCUCACCUUUGGGAGGGUCCCCUAGUGUUGUUGGCCACGGGAAUGAGUUUUAUAUCAUCUUAUAAACUGACCUGCAUCUUUGUAUAUGGUCUCUAUUAAACUCUCCUCAAACCA